rnacentral:lncRNA from 1 species
AUAACUUUCUGAGGGAUUUAGGUAGGCUCUAUGGAAACCUCUCAAGAAAAUAAAGCCUUUUACCACAGAGUAAGGUUUUUACAUCUCUAUUGUGGGAAUGUAAAAAUGGAUAGCAAGUAUAUGACAAAGAAAAUAUUUGUGAUGGGGUGACUUUUUAAAAAUUUUCUAAUUCACACCAGAAAAUCUAUAUCUGGUAGUGUUAUCUUUUGUCACUUGUAAAAGUGUUAUCCCUUUUGAUACAAUGAAGAUGAACCUUUUCCCUAUGAUUUUCAAAUAGUUUACCAGUUUUAUAUGUUUGCCAUUAUCUAUUUCUACAUGCUUUACAUGCAACUGUCACAAAAUAUGUUUUUUAAUAGAGUAUAAUUUUUCAGUUUUUUUCACAGUUGUUCUGACUUAUUUGCUGAUUUACUCUAGAUUUUUAAAAAAAAAUGGAUUUAUAAACCUAAACCAUCCCCUGAUUAGAAUUUUCAAUUUCUUCCUUUGCUCAACACAGGCAGUAUUAUGCAUGUAAUUUAUUAGUUUUUACAUUUUGAUAACAUUUAUAGCCUGAUAUAAUUAACUCUUUUAUUUUAUUACUUAAUGAAGCAGUAAGUUUGUACAGAAAGAGAACUGCAUUUUUUCCCCUACUGUAUAUUCACAGUACCUAGAGUCUAUGUAUACUAUGUAUGCUCUACAUAUUUGUAGAUUUCAUUUUUUCAUUUUCAUUUUUUCAGUCCUUUGAUUUUUUUGUGUGUGCACAAUUUGUAGCAGCAGUUGGAAUGAAACUUCUUUGCUUUGCAAUCUCUAAGAUACUUCUCAAGCAAGCUCUGUGUUACUAGUGAGACUAAAAUUUAUUAAAUGAAAAAAUUCUCUUUCAGUCUUCAGAUAGCUCAUGUUCUUGCCUCUAUAACUCAGCCAAAUUAUAUUGGAUAUAAUCAUCUAUUUUAAAAAAAUAGCAACAACACAACCUAUGGAUUUAAAUGAAGGACCUUAUCUCACUAUGCCACAGUAUAUCAUGGCUGCAAAUAUCUCAGAUAAGAUAAUACAUUAGGCUUCUGCUUUGUAGGGACAUUAGCAUUAAAAUUAAAUAUGGAAGAAAUUGAGUGUGAAUGUUUGAUGGGAGUCCCAACAUUUAUGCCAAGCAUUUAAAGAUAUUGCUAGAAGUCAACUCUAAAUUGUAAAUCAAGAGAUUUAGUAUUCUACUGUGUCCACUGCAGUAGAGCUCCUCAAAUGAAAGAAGGUGCAAGAAUCAUACAGAACGAAUUAUUUUAAAAACAGAAUCCUGAACUCACCCCUAGAAAUGGAGAUUUUUAAAAUAAAUCUAAAGUGUGUCAAGGAUGAAUUUGCCAUUUCUUAGCAAAAACCCCAAGUGAUUUUUGACGUAGACCAUGUUUAAAAAGUACUGUUUAGAGCACACAUUUUAAGAAAAGCAUGUCCUUUUUAUUAUUAAAAAGUCAUGUCUUUUAUCCAGCAAAAAAUAAGUCAUUUAAAGGAAUCUGAAGUCUCAUAAAAGUAUAUUAUUUGUUAAGGAAUAGCGUCUUUGAAAAACAGAGAUUUAAUGACUGCCAUAUUGAGCCUGAGCACUAGUCUGACAGCAUCUCUUUGUCAUUCUGCUACUAUUUUAGAAUGUGCAGUUUUCUGGGGUGAUUCAUGUUUUAAUCAUACGUUUCUGCUAGUACCAUAAACAACAGAAGUGUUACAGAAAUUUGAGGUUCUCCUCGAAUCUAGAUUGUAUCUCCCAGACUCCCACUCAUAUAAAAAAACACACAAAAGUUUUUCAAACUGGUUGUUCCACUUUAUGGUUCAGAAAUUAUGAUUGCAAUAGCUAGAACGCAACUAGCUAUGCAACUGUAGAGACAUAAUAUUUUAGAACUUAAUAUUUUAGAACUCUGAUGCCUCAGAGAAUGUUGAUCAGCCCCUGUCCUAUACAUGAAUUUCCUCUUUGGUAGAAAGCUGGGCGUAUAUGAUGUUCUAAAAUAUCGCUAAGAGCAGUACUGAAUUAUGUUUAAAACCAGUUUGCAGUUAGAAAUGUGUGUGCAAGUAACAGAAGAUCUUACUUCGGUGGCCUGAACGGAAGCAUAAUUACUUGUCUCACAAUAUAAGAAGUCAGAUUAGGCCAUAAGUAGGGCUAAUAUACUCCAGAGGUUCAAGGAUGUGCUUUAGAUUCCAGGCUCUUUCCCUCUGGCCAUUGGGGCCUCUUACCCUCAAGCUGCUCUUGCCAUUGGUAGAUGAUUACUACAUAGCAGGGCCCAGCAGCCUCAUGUUGACUGUCUAGGAAGGAAGUAAAGAAAAACAGGCAAAAAGUAAGACUAUGCCAUUAAAUUGGGAAAGGAUGUCUGCUUCUACCUACACCUGACCAUGAUAUGCCAGAACUGUGUCGUGUCACCUGCUCCGGCUUCAUGAGAAAAUGAGAACUUGAAGAAUUUUACUUGAGCACACUGAUGCCCCAAACUAAAUCAGGGUUCUGCCAAGAAAAAAGUAGGCAUUUAUAUUGUGUUGGCAACUGAAAUUGUCUACUGCAACUAGUGUUAUGUGUAAAGGAAAAAUGUAUCCCAAAGCCUCAGACUAAUUGGUAUAAUAGUCAUAAAGAUAGAAUUCAGUAUUUGCUUCUCAUGUGCAGCAUUAGCUCUUUGGCACACUGUAUUUAUUAUUUAGAAGACAUAGUAGAGAUGUGUGUAUGUGUA